rnacentral:sRNA from 1 species
UGCUAUUAUGCUGCAGAAACAAAAGACAAACAAACAGGUGCUGAGACCCUGCUCCCGCUCAACGCAGCACCAGACAAUGAAUAAUAAAUAUCCCAACAAACAAAGAACCCGUCAAUGCUCUCCAUCGCACCACACCUAGCCCGUUGGCUAGCUAGUUCCUUUUUUGCCAAAAGCUGGGGUUCCGCUGGGUUGGUUUUCAGUAGUAUCAUGAUGCUAGAGUAGUCUGAUCCUGCUAAAACCAACAACCCCCCCUUUUUUAACCCCUCCCACAAUCCCAGGGCCACGGUACAGAUGCACGAAAUUGCGAUAAAAAAGUCUCCUGUGCAGAAUUACCGCUUCCGGACUCGAGAGCAACAGGAUGAACCCUAGCAUCCAUCUGUUGUUUAUCCCCAUGCGUCAUUGUUCAUAUUGUUCAUUUUGCCAAGCUUGAAAUUUUGAAAACAAGGUAAACUAACUGCAUAACUAUCUGUGUCUGUGUGCCAAAAAACAAAUCAACAAAUAUUAACAUAAAUCAAUCAAUCAAUCAAUCAAUAAAUAAAAUAA